rnacentral:rRNA from 1 species
UACGUAGGGGGCUAGCGUUGUCCGGAUUUAUUGGGCGUAAAGAGCGUGUAGGCGGCCAGGUAGGUCUGCUGUGAAAACUCGAGGCUCAACCUCGAGACGUCGGCGGAAACCAUCUGGCUAGAGUCCGGAAGAGGAGAGUGGAAUUCCUGGUGUAGCGGUGAAAUGCGCAGAUAUCAGGAGGAACACCGGUGGCGAAGGUGGGUCUCUGGGCCGAUACUGACGCUGAGGAGCGAAAGCGUGGGGAGCGAACAGG